CAGUCAUACCAACGGGAAAUCAACCUUUUGAGCUCGGUCUCGUGGGUUUUGAAGAGUUUCAAAGCCUUCGGAUUCGCGGGAUUGGGAUCUCUCGGUGUACUCUCUCGUACGGUUAGUCAACAUCGGUUUUGAAUGUCAUAAAAUGACUGGAGGAAUGUAGCUUCGAUCUCGUAUUGAAGUGUUAUAGCCUUUGGUAGAUGUGAUGUUUGAGACCGAGGAUUGCAACGGAUACCCUUCAGGGCUAUUCGUCUGAUCUCUGAUACGUUGCCUUGAUGUUGAAAGCUUGCUUAUGAUGUUAGGGUAUUACGGUCAAAAGGUUAGAACGAAUUAGA
rnacentral:rRNA from 2 species